rnacentral:rRNA from 1 species
CCCGGAAGGCCGGGUAGAGAGAAGCUUGCUUCUCUUGAGAGCGGCGGACGGGUGAGUAAUGCCUAGGAAUCUGCCUGGUAGUGGGGGAUAACGUUCGGAAACGGACGCUAAUACCGCAUACGUCCUACGGGAGAAAGCAGGGGACCUUCGGGCCUUGCGCUAUCAGAUGAGCCUAGGUCGGAUUAGCUAGUUGGUGAGGUAAUGGCUCACCAAGGCGACGAUCCGUAACUGGUCUGAGAGGAUGAUCAGUCACACUGGAACUGAGACACGGUCCAGACUCCUACGGGAGGCAGCAGUGGGGAAUAUUGGACAAUGGGCGAAAGCCUGAUCCAGCCAUGCCGCGUGUGUGAAGAAGGUCUUCGGAUUGUAAAGCACUUUAAGUUGGGAGGAAGGGUUGUAGAUUAAUACUCUGCAAUUUUGACGUUACCGACAGAAUAAGCACCGGCUAACUCUGUGCCAGCAGCCGCGGUAAUACAGAGGGUGCAAGCGUUAAUCGGAAUUACUGGGCGUAAAGCGCGCGUAGGUGGUUUGUUAAGUUGGAUGUGAAAUCCCCGGGCUCAACCUGGGAACUGCAUUCAAAACUGACUGACUAGAGUAUGGUAGAGGGUGGUGGAAUUUCCUGUGUAGCGGUGAAAUGCGUAUAUAUAUCGAAGGAACACCAGUGGCGAAGGCGACCACCUGGACUAAUACUGACACUGAGGUGCGAAAGCGUGGGGAGCAAACAGGAUUAGAUACCCUGGUAGUCCACGCCGUAAACGAUGUCAACUAGCCGUUGGAAGCCUUGAGCUUUUACUGGCGCACCUAACGCAUUACUUGACCGCCUGUGGAGUACGGCUGCAAGGUAAAACUCAGAUGAAUUGACUGGAGCUCACACAAGCAGCUGGAGCAUGUGGUUUAAUUCGUAGCAACGAUUAAAACCUUACCACGCCGUGACAUCCAAUGAACUGGCUAGAGGAUAGAUCGGUGCUUCUGGACAUUGAGACAGUGCUGCAUGGCUGUCGUCAGCUCGUCUCGUGAGAUGUUGGGUUAAGUCCCGUAACGAGCGCAACCCUUGUCCUUAGUUACCAGCACGUUAUGGUGGGCACUCUAAGGAGACUGCCGGUGACAAACCGGAGGAAGGUGGGGAUGACGUCAAGUCAUCAUGGCCCUUACGGCCUGGGCUACACACGUGCCACAAUGGUCGGUACACAGGGUUGCCAAGCCGCGAGGUGGAGCUAAUCCCAUAAAACCGAUCGUAGUCCGGAUCGCAGUCUGCAAGGUCCCUGCGUGAAGUCGGAAUCGCUAGUAAUCGCGAAUCAGAAUGUCGCGGUGAAUACGUUCCCGGGCCUUGUACACACCGCCGCGUCACACCACGGGAGUGGGUUGCACCAGAAGUAGAUAGUCCUAACCUUCCGGGCAAGCGGCA